CGGCAAACAGUUAUCCCCUUUCUAGUCUGGCUCCUGGGAACUCUAGAAGGGAAUCAGUCUGCCACAAGUAAGUGGGUGAAUUCUUCUGUCCACGUCAGUAUUUUGAUGGGUNGCUUNAAAACUUGCCAGAUAACC
rnacentral:snoRNA from 1 species